UGCCAAGAGAGUGAGGAAGUGAUCACCCAGGGACCACAGCAUUAUCAAAGCGCCUGCUCAAAGCACCGGCUCGGUGCCAUCGGUGCCAAUUCAGAACCACUCCCUCUCCUCUCAAAGUCCACAUGGAAAAGGCCCAAACAGAUCCACCACCCUCCACCAUCCCCAAGUUGCUCUCUGCUCCCGUUACUCAGCCAAAUCCAUAGAACAUGUAUGUCUUCAGGUGGAACUGCAGAUGCGAUCUAAUAAGAGAGAAAGGGAGGGAUGAUGGGAAAGAAGAAGAAUGGAGCAGAAAUAGAGUUGGGAAGAGUCAUCAAAAUAUCCACCAAUUAAAACCACAAAAAAAAAAGUGUCUUCUCACGAAGUAAGAUGAGCAUAGGGAAGAAAUCACUUCUUGGACACUGAAGUGCAGCAUCUCGGGUUCAAGCUUGUUAUUCAAGCUCUUUUUUUUUUUUUUUAUCACCCUGACCUUUUGUCUUUCUUCCAAACCGCCUCCACUCUGUGGGCCCCUAAUGUGGCAGCCCCUUAUGUGGCCUCCGCAGCUAGUGGAAUUUGAAAGGUAUACCCCAAUAGCUGGGCUAGUGGAAUUUGAAAGGUAUACCCCAACAGCUGGGCUUUUGAUGUGGGCUGCUCGCUCGGCUUUCUUACCUGCUUUUCAAGCCAGUCUCAGCUAUGUUUUUUUUUUUUUUUUUCUUCAUCAGACCGAUUUUCUGUUUGUUCUUUAGGUCUCCCAGGAGAAGGGCAAAACAUGAUAAGUCUCUGCUGCCUUCUUCCAUCACGUGACAGAAAAAUCUCAGACGGAGAGGAGGCGGGAGGAUAAGAUAGAGGCGUCAGUGGAGGAAGACCGGAGAUAAUGCUCCAAGUGCCACGCCACAGAUCGUGCCCACAGAGGAAGAAAAAAACCCUCUGGACUUCAGCUAUGGCUCUGAGGGUAAAGUCCAGAGGUCUUUUCAGGAAUUUAAUCCGCAGAUUAAUGACAUUCUUUGCAAAGUGGCUUUUGCAUGAAGUCCCACCCCUAGCUGAGGAGCUACUGGCUGCUGGGGAAGAUGUGGCCCUGCAGUGCAAUCCAGUAGAUAGUCCGCGAACAUGCGGGCAGAGUGCACGGAUUGUUGCUGCUGUUUCUAAUAAAGUCUAUGAAGUUGGGAGGAGGAAACGAUGAGGCAGAUGGAGGAGGUGGAGAGAAGUGGUAGGCCUGAUCGGAAUUCAUUUUAUGCAUAUAUAAAAUUCUCAAACGUUAAGAACUUUAUUAUUUGGACUAUGGGCAGGUCAGAACAUCUGAACAAUAGUUUUCAUGACAACCAUCAGAACGGCCCCACUUGUAUCUGCCAGGAGACCUUCUCUACUGUCCUUGUCUCACAUCUGUCCGGAGCCCCCCUCCUCUGAGGUGUCACUGGUUAUAUUUGAUGCUCAGGUAUCAGGGAACCAAGGAACAAAACUUAGGCCAACCAUUUGUCUACCACAGCUCGCUCCUUUUAGCCAACGUGGGAAGAUUUCCACAAAUACAAGAUUAAACAUCCUCAGGCAGAAUCUCAAGGUUUGGAAUAGGAAUCUAAAGGGCCUUCGAUUGACUCCUGGGACCAUGUGGAUGCAAAACCAGAUCCUCAUUUGGAAGCGAUGCUGUGCUGUGAAGCCCACCAUGGACCAGAAGGCUGGCAGACAGGGAGACAACCUCGUCCUUAGCACUGCAGUCUGAUCUGAAAAAGCACGGAAGGUCAUUGGGGUAAUAGAUGAAAAGACGUUGUCAAUCUGAAGUAGGCGAUUCUAAUCAUAAUCUUUUCUUUAAAUCACAAUGGUCCCAAGAGAACCAGGAAAGCCGUGAGGGCCUGUGUUUCAUGCUCUCCAGCCAUCUUUGAACUUCUGUCAGUGAACGUACUUUCAUCUAGAGAAUCCAUAGAAGACGGUUGCAGAUGGAAAAAUCUAGCCCUGGGUCAUUUCAAUCGCUCACUUUGUAGAUGAUGCAAAAACCCAAUUAUACAGAUCCUUGACCUUUUUUCCUUUAGCGUUGCUUAAAGUAUUGAAAUCUCCAUCAUGAGUUAGAUUGGAGGUGUAAAAAAAGAAAGAAAAGAAAAGUCAAGCUGCCAAUCUCAAUUUCCAUUUCUCCAUUAUCCUUGCUCGCUCACCUAAUGGAACCUCCAGAGACUUCCAGAUUUUCAAAGAAAAUUGAAGAGUCAGAAGAGCACAGGAAGGAACUGGAAAUUCUGAGGGAUAGUACCAAACCAGGAAGGAGGCUGCUGGGGUCUUCACCCUCAGAAAGUGCCCACUGUCUCCUCCCAGCAAGCCUUGAUUUAGGCUGGAAUUGCAAGGAAGUAAAGAGUUUUUGUAGUUCCCAAUGA